rnacentral:rRNA from 1 species
ACGGAGGGUGCGAGCGUUGUCCGGAAUCACUGGGCGUAAAGGGCGCGUAGGCGGCCGAGCAAGGUCGCGGUGAAAGCCCGGGGCUCAACCCCGGGUCGGCCGUGGCAACUACUUGGCUGGAGCACUGUAGGGGCGGGUGGAAUUCCGGGUGUAGCGGUGGAAUGCGUAGAGAUCCGGAAGAACACCGGUGGCGAAGGCGGCCCGCUGGGCAGGAAGACGGGCGCAAGUCCGUUGGCUGACGCUGAGGCGCGACAGCGUGGGGAGCAAACAGGA